UGUGGGAGCGAGCCUGCUCGCGAAAGCGCUGUGUCAGGCAACAUGGAUGUCACUGACAGAUAGCAUUCGCGAGCAGGCUCGCUCCCACA
rnacentral:antisense_RNA from 1 species